rnacentral:rRNA from 1 species
GGCAUCAACGAUGAAUAUUGCGCUUGGGCGAAAGCCUGACGCACCAACGCCACGUGGGGGACGAAGGCCUUCGGGUCGUAAACCCCUUUUCCAGGGGAUGAGGAUGGACAGUACCCUGGGAAUAAUUCUCGGCUAACUACUUGCCAGCAGCAGCGGUUAAACGCAAGAUGCAAGCGUUAUCCGUAUUUAGUGUGCGUAGAGCGCAUGUAUGCGGCUUCUUAAUUCCGGUGUGUGAUCUCCUGUCUCUGCUGGGAUGGGUCGUUCGAUACUGGUAAGGUUGAGGGCAUGAGAGGGAAGUGGAAUUCCCGGUGUAGUGGUGGAAUACGUAUAUAUCGGGAGGAACACCAGUGGCAAAGGCGGCUUCCUGGCUCUGCCCCUGACGCUGACAUGCGAAAGCGUGGGUAGCGAACGGUAUUAGAUACCCCGGUAGUCCACGCCCUAGACGAUGGCAACUAGGUGUGGGAGAUAUUGACCUCUUCCGUGCCGAGACUCACGCGUUAAGUUGCCCGCCUGGGGACUACCGUCGCAAGGCUAUCACUCAAAUGGAUUGACGG